AGACCCGAAACCCGGUGAUCUAGCCAUGGGCAGGUUGAAGGUUGGGUAACACUAACUGGAGGACCGAACCGACUAAUGUUGAAAAAUUAGCGGAUGACCUGUGGCUGGGGGUGAAAGGCCAAUCAAACCGGGAGAUAGCUGGUUCUCCCCGAAAGCUAUUUAGGUAGCGCCUCGUGAAUUCAUCUCCGGGGGUAGAGCACUGUUUCGGCUAGGGGGCCAUCCCGGCUUACCAACCCGAUGCAAACUGCGAAUACCGGAGAAUGUUAUCACGGGAGACACACGGCGGGUGCUAACGUCCGUCGUGAAGAGGGAAACAACCCAGACCGCCAGCUAAGGUCCCAAAGUCAUGGUUAAGUGGGAAACGAUGUGGGAAGGCCCAGACAGCCAGGAUGUUGGCUUAGAAGCAGCCAUCAUUUAAAGAAAGCGUAAUAGCUCACUGGUCGAGUCGGCCUGCGCGGAAGAUGUAACGGGGCUAAACCAUGCACCGAAGCUGCGGCAGCGAACGUAUCACCCAAGACAACUUUGCGGAGUUGACGAUUGACGGAGCGAAGCGACGUCAAAGCGUUCAUUAAAGUCGAGUUGGCUUAGGGAUACGUUCGUUGGGUAGGGGAGCGUUCUGUAAGCCUGUGAAGGUGGCCUGUGAGGGUUGCUGGAGGUAUCAGAAGUGCGAAUGCUGACAUAAGUAACGAUAAAGCGGGUGAAAAGCCCGCUCGCCGGAAGACCAAGGGUUCCUGUCCAACGUUAAUCGGGGCAGGGUGAGUCGACCCCUAAGGCGAGGCCGAAAGGCGUAGUCGAUGGGAAACGGGUUAAUAUUCCCGUACUUGGUGUUACUGCGAAGGGGGGACGGAGAAGGCUAUGUUGGCCGGGCGACGGUUGUCCCGGUUUAAGCGUGUAGGUGUGUGUUCCAGGUAAAUCCGGUUCACUUUAACACUGAGGCGUGACGACGAGGCACUACGGUGCUGAAGCAACAAAUGCCCUGCUUCCAGGAAAAGCCUCUAAGCAUCAGGUAACAUCAAAUCGUACCCCAAACCGACACAGGUGGUCAGGUAGAGAAUACCAAGGCGCUUGAGAGAACUCGGGUGAAGGAACUAGGCAAAAUGGUGCCGUAACUUCGGGAGAAGGCACGCUGAUAUGUAGGUGAAGCGGUUUACCCGUGGAGCUGAA
rnacentral:rRNA from 1 species